AGGAGAGUUUGAUCCUGGCUCAGAACGAACGCUGGCGGCAUGGAUUAGGCAUGCAAGUCGAACGGGAGCAGCAAUGCUCCAGUGGCGCAAGGGUGAGGAACACGUGAACAACCUGCCUUCGAGUUGGGGAUAGCUUCUGGAAACGGGAGAUAAUACCGAAUAACAUCAAUUAGUCGCAUGACUUUUUGAUCAAAGCAGCAAUGCGCUUGAAGAGGGGUUCGCGUCCCAUUAGCUAGUUGGUGAGGUAACGGCCCACCAAGGCGAUGAUGGGUAGCUGGUCUGAGAGGACGAUCAGCCACAUUGGGACUGAGAUACUGCCCAGACUCCUACGGGAGGCUGCAGUCGAGAAUUUUGGGCAAUGGACGAAAGUCUGACCCAGCAAUGCCGCGUGCGGGAUGAAGGUCUUCGGAUUGUAAACCGCUGUCAAGAGGGACGAAAUUUGACGGUACCUCUGGAGGAAGCCACGGCUAACUACGUGCCAGCAGCCGCGGUAAUACGUAGGUGGCGAGCGUUGUUCGGAUUUAUUGGGCGUAAAGGGUCCGCAGGUGGUUGGGUAAGUUUGACGUGAAAUCCCAGAGCUCAACUCUGGAACUGCGUUGAAAACUGCCUGACUGGAGUAUCGGAGAGGAGAUUGGAAUUCCAGGUGUAGCGGUGGAAUGCGUAGAUAUCUGGAAGAACACCGAAAGCGAAGGCAGAUCUCUGGACGAUAACUGACACUCAGGGACGAAAGUAUGGGGAUCAAACAGGAUUAGAUACCCUGGUAGUCCCCU
rnacentral:rRNA from 1 species